rnacentral:sRNA from 10 species
CAGUUAUAUUCGCCUGUCGACGAGUGAUAUUGCCGUGCAGUGAUAUUCGGUCAUACCGAGUGAUAUUGCCU